GAGUUUGAUCCUGGCUCAGAACAAACGCUGGCGGCGUACAUAACACAUGCAAGUCGAACGAGAAAGGAAGCUUCGGCUUCCGAGUAAAGUGGCGAACGGGUGCGUAACACGUAAGUAAUCUACCCUAGACUCUGGAAUAACUCUCCGAAAGGAGGGCUAAGACUGGAUAGUGUCCUCGAGGUAUAAGUCGCGAGGGGAAAGCAGGCCUCUGUUAUAAGCUUGCGGUUUAGGAUGAGCUUGCGUCCCAUUAGUUUGUUGGUGAGGUAACGGCUCACCAAGACUACGAUGGGUAGCUGGUCUGAGAGGAUGAUCAGUCACACUGGCACUGAGACACGGGCCAGACUCCUACGGGAGGCAGCAGUGGGGAAUUUUGCGCAAUGGGCGAAAGCCUGACGCAGUAACGCCGCGUGGAGGACGAAGGCCUUCGGGUUGUAAACUCCUGUCAGGGGGAAAGAAGGGCUUGAGGCUAGAAUAUAUCUUCGAGUUCUGACGGUACCCCCAAAGGAAGCCCCGGCUAAUUCCGUGCCAGCAGCCGCGGUAAUACGGAAGGGGCAAGCGUUGUUCGGAAUCAUUGGGCGUAAAGGGCGCGUAGGUGGUCUUAUGUGUCCGUCGUGAAAGUGCACGGCUCAACCGUGUUUGGUCGGCGGAAACUGUAAGACUUGAGGCUGGGAGGGGCUGGAGGAAUUCCCUGUGUAGCGGUGAAAUGCGUAGAGAUAGGGGAGAACACUCGUGGCGAAGGCGUCCAGCUGGACCAGUCCUGACACUGAGGCGCGAAAGCGUGGGUAGCAAACCGGAUUAGAUACCCUGGUAGUC
rnacentral:rRNA from 1 species